AGAACUUAGCAGAGAUGCUUGGUGCCUUCGGGAACUCUGAGACAGGUGCUGCAUGGCUGUCGUCAGCUCGUGUUGUGAAAUGUUGGGUUAAGUCCCGCAACGAGCGCAACCCUUAUCCUUUGUUGCCAGCGGUUAGGCCGGGAACUCAAAGGAGACUGCCAGUGAUAAACUGGAGGAAGGUGGGGAUGACGUCAAGUCAUCAUGGCCCUUACGAGUAGGGCUACACACGUGCUACAAUGGCGCAUACAAAGAGAAGCGACCUCGCGAGAGCAAGCGGACCUCAUAAAGUGCGUCGUAGUCCGGAUUGGAGUCUGCAACUCGACUCCAUGAAGUCGGAAUCGCUAGUAAUCGUGGAUCAGAAUGCCACGGUGAAUACGUUCCCGGGCCUUGUACACACCGCCCGUCACACCAUGGGAGUGGGUUGCAAAAGAAGUAGGUAGCUUAACCUUCGGGAGGGCGCUUACCACUUUGUGAUUCAUGACUGGGGUGAAGUCGUAACAAGGUAAGCGUAGUGCU
rnacentral:rRNA from 1 species